UCUUAAUCCACUGAGCCACCCAGGCACCCCUACAAAACGAUUUUAAUCUCUAAAGAAUUUUAUUCUUUUACAUGAACUAAAUACCAGCACGGAACAAAUGGGAUCACCCUGUAGGGUGUUGAAAAUGGGAAUAAGAAAUGAGAGCACUGCUCCUAUUUUGUGGGUAGACGCUAUUUUUAAAACUCGUUGAGCUGGAGAUGCCGCAUAAUCCUGAAGAAGGGCAAAGCAAAUUGCGCCAUGAAGGAUGGAAUUUGACACAUUGAAAUUUUGUUUAAAGACUUUUGUUUUUCAGUAAUCUCUGCACUCCGUGUGGGACUCGAACCCACGAACCUGAGUUCAAAAGUCACUCCCUCCACUGACUGACCUAACCAGGUGCCCCUCGACACUGUAUUGGAUCAUGAUGCUAAGGUUGAGCAUGUUUUCUCAUUAAUAGACACAACAGGGUAAAAAAAAGUAAGUGGACAUUCGUGGGUGAUUUCAGAAGGGAAAGCUCUGAUGCCCUACAAGCAGAGUCAACUGCAGACCCUACAAGAAGAGACAGACCUAACCUUGAAUGCACUUGACCUUGCACGGGAAUGCGUUCCACUCUCCCAGAGGGCGGGAAGACGGGCUUUCCUUAUUCCCACCCCGCCCCCCAACAGCUCAGCCAAUGAGAAGUCAGUAUACUUCCAACUCCCAGUUUACUCCAACGGACUUUUAGUUUAUAACAGCCCUCCCUGCCCCUUUUCUCCAUAAAUGCGUGCAACUGCUUUGUUCUUCAGACUUGCCUGCAGUUUCCGGAGAAGGUUUUUCGGUUUUUUGGUUUGUUUGGGCUUUUUUGGUUCACAGCACUCUUUUAUUCCCCCAGUAAAUCCAUUUUUGCUGGUAAAGGAGCUGGCAGUUUUAUUUUAAGAUCAACACAAUAUUGCAGUGUUAAUGGGACAUAGACCAAAACUGCAAGGAAUUUUACAAGCCAAUUCUACAAAAAGAAGACACUGGUGAGAACCAAAACCUCCGGGACAUAUAAAGGAAGAGAGGCGACACUCACAUGAAGAAGAUGAGGCAGGGACAGAGACUGAGCAGGAGAGCAACACCGGCACACGCGAUGGCCCCCAGAACGAAUCCUCCCUCAAGCUCCGGCUUCCCUGCAGGCUCUGCGCCCAGUGCGGGACUCAUACUCAUGACCCUAAGAUCAAGACUUGCAGGCACCACGGACUGAGCCAGCCAGGCGCCCCAGGCACCUUAACCGGGGUGGUGAGUACCAAGGUGUUCAUUGGAUGGUGAUUCUUUGUAACUUGCCUGUAUUUGAGAAAAAGGCUUUGCAUAUAAUGAAUAGUAAUCAAAGAUCCUGGAGGGGGGCCUCCCAGCUCUGCUCUC